GUUGAGUGUGCGACACACGUUUCAACAUGAAGCACAAUCAAGCUUCUAUGCAUAUAGAAAUUCUCUUGCCAUGUUUGUGCACUUAUGUCCCUUGUGUGAACCAGGAUUUACAUUCUUUUUAAACAAUCAAGUUUAUGACAAAAGGGAUUGUUUAUUUCGCAAAUAAACCAGAUUGGUCAACUUGCAUUGAAUUCGGGUUAAUAAUAUAUUUCAAGCUCGCUGGUUUUGAACGCAAAUGGCAGAUUGUCCGUGCACCCUUCGGAGAAAGUUUGUAAGAACUUUGAAAAGGAAGCCAGCUUUGAAAGAGACCAAUAGCGAACCUAUGAAAGUGUAUUUGCGAGUUCGACCAUUGUCUGAGUUAGAGUUGAUAGCGGGUGAGUCACAAGAAUGCUUCCAAUCGGAGAAUGAUUCGUCCAUUGUCGUUCAACCACCGAAAGAUUCUGCUUCUUUCAAGAAUCAUGUCCGUACUACUGGAAUGCAGGUCAGUUAUCGCUUUGAUUUCUCGCAUGUGUUUGGGCCUGAAACCAACCAGGAGAAUUUGUUUAAAGAUACAACGCUCGAUGUUGUGAAAGAUUUUGUAAGAGGACAGAACUGUUUAACUUUCAGCUAUGGAGUGACCAAUGCUGGAAAG